rnacentral:rRNA from 1 species
UCCUACGGGAGGCAGCAGUAGGGAAUCUUCCACAAUGGACGAAAGUCUGAUGGAGCAACGCCGCGUGAGUGAAGAAGGGUUUCGGCUCGUAAAGCUCUGUUGGUAGUGAAGAAAGAUAGAGGGAGUAACUGGCUUUUUUUUGACGGUACCUUAUGAGAAAGCCACGGCUAACUACGUGCCAGCAGCCGCGGUAAUACGUAGGUGGCAAGCGUUAUCCGGAAUUAUUGGGCGUAAAGAGCGCGCCGGAGGUUUAUUAAGUCUUAUGUGAAAGCCCACGGCUUAACC